rnacentral:rRNA from 1 species
CACGGACCGCACGAACGUUAUUCGGUAUCACUGGGCUUAAAGGGUGCGUAGGCGGCUUGGCAAGCUGGGUGUGAAAGCCCUCGGCUCAACCGAGGAAUUGCGCUCAAUACUGCCGAGCUCGAGAGAGACGGAGGUAAGCGGAACUGAUGGUGGAGCGGUGAAAUGCGUUGAUAUCAUCAGGAACACCGGUGGCGAAGGCGGCUUACUGGGUCUUUUCUGACGCUGAGGCACGAAAGCGUGGGGAGCGAACAGG